UGCAUUUCAUCACCUACUCCCAUCACUUACCGUGGUGGUGACACUUUCGGUGUGAUGGAUUGAAUAAGAGUGCACA
rnacentral:pre_miRNA from 1 species